AGUGUAGGCGGUUUGAUAAGUCGGGUGUGAAAGCCCUGGGCUCAACCCAGGAAGUGCACUCGAUACUGUCAGGCUAGAGUAUCGGAGAGGUUGGUGGAAUUCUCGGUGUAGAGGUGAAAUUCGUAGAUAUCGAGAGGAACACCGGUGGCGAAGGCGGCCAACUGGACGAAUACUGACGCUGAGACUCGAAAGCGUGGGGAGCAAACA
rnacentral:rRNA from 1 species